UACGUAGGUGGCAAGCGAUACUCGGAAUCACUAGGCGUAAAGCGCAGGUAGGAGGUUGGAUAAGUCUGUUGUGAAAGCUCCCGGCUUAACUGGGAGAGGUCAACGGAAACUAUCCGGCUAGAGUGCGGUAGAGGUAGCUGGAAUUCCCGGUGUAGCGGUGAAAUGCGUAGAUAUCGGGAGGAAUACCUAUGGCGAAAGCAGGCUACUGGACCGUCACUGACUCUGAUCUGCGAAAGCUAGGGGAGCAAACAGG
rnacentral:rRNA from 1 species